rnacentral:rRNA from 1 species
GAUGAACGCUAGCGGCAGGCUUAAUACAUGCAAGUCAAGGGGGUAGCAAUACAACCGGCGCACGGGUGAGUAACGCGUACACAACAUACCAUAUACUGGAGUAUAGCUUUGGGAAACUGAAGGUAAUCCUCCAUAACAUUGCGAGAGGGCAUCUGAUUGCAAUUAAAGUUUCGGCGGUAUAUGAUUGGUGUGCGUUUGAUUAGCUAGUUGGUAGGGUAACGGCCUACCAAGGCGACGAUCAAUAGCUGGCGUGAGAGCGCGACCAGCCACACUGGAACUGAGACACGGUCCAGACUCCGUACGGGAGGCAGCAGUAGGGAAUAUUGGACAAUGGAGAAACUCUGAUCCAGCCAUGCCGCGUGAUAGAU